rnacentral:rRNA from 16 species
AUAUCACUCAUACCAGCACUAAAGCACCGGAUCCCAUCAGAACUCCGAAGUUAAGCGUGCUUGGGCGAGAGUAGUACUAGGAUGGGUGACCUCCUGGGAAGUCCUCGUGUUGCAUUUC